AGUAAUACAUCGGAACGUGCCCAGUAGUGGGGGAGUAACCCGGCGAAAGCCGGACUAAUACCGCAUACGACCUACGGGUGAAAGCAGGGGAUCGCAAGACCUUGCGCUAUUGGAGCGGCCGAUGUCAGAUUAGCUAGUUGGCGGGGUAAGAGCCCACCAAGGCGACGAUCUGUAGCUGGUCUGAGAGGACGACCAGCCACACUGGGACUGAGACACGGCCCAG
rnacentral:rRNA from 1 species